GCUUACGGCCAUAACAGCCUGAAUGCGCCUGAUCUCGUCAGAUCUCGGAAGCUAAGCAGGGUCGGGCCUGGUUAGUACUUGGAUGGGAGACUUCCUGGGAAUACCCGGUGCUGUAAGCA
ensembl:rRNA 5S_rRNA 5S ribosomal RNA